GGAAGAGGUGGAGAUCUUGCAGAAAGCCGAGACUUCCCCCGUGGCCCCUGUGCCGGUGCUGGCAGGAGCCAUGUUUGGAGCCAUACAUCAUCGAUGGAAGGUACCUAAUGAUAUAUUGCCCUAAUACAUCGCCAUGGCAACAGUGCUCUAAUAAUGUAUUAUUCUAAUGUGUGUUACCCAAGCGCACGUUCUUCCCCGUGAUGUAUGGCCGGGAUCUCUGUGUGCCGCCAAGCCCAGACGCGACAAAGCUCCCCUGACCGCCACGCGCUGUCCCCAGUGCCACCGCCGCAGGGGACACACCGUCCACCCCGGGGACGUCCUGGUGCCGGCACCAUCCUGCACAAGGGGGUUUGUGGGGUGUAUCGGGAAACAAUGAGGUGCUUGCUCCCACCUCCGUGGGUGUCCUCGGGAGCAUCGCAGGGCACGAGCGCCCUGCUGGGCUGCCACCAUCACCCCCCGGGGCAGAGGCACAGCGCGGUGCUGGUGUGGCUGCAACGCACGGCCCGAAACACAUUCCUCUCCUGGCAUUUGGAAAGUUCAGCAGGGGAAGUGACGGCUGGCUUGUGCAUUUCUCCAGCCCCUUCCAAGGGACCGGCAGCAGCUGGGCUGAGGCACCGCAGAGCCCUGAGCAUCACCCAUGGGAUCAUCAGCACCCAUCGGAUCCCCCCCAGGCUCUGCAGCACGAGUCGGUGCACCUGAUCAGGAGAGAAAUGAUCGUCUGUGCCCACAUCAGGAAAACAGAAGAGGAAAGCAACAGGAGAUCUGGGAGCAGAGUCCGGGAGCUCCGAUACCCCCAUCCUAGAGGAAAGUCUCUGCUGCUGCAGGUCCGAGCACUGCCCUUGGGACUGCAGCUCUCUCACUGCCCGUCCUGCUCUCAAUCUACUUGAAAAGCCAUCACUUUUGUUUCCAGGCUUUUAAAAGUGACUGAACAAAACUUUUCCGCUGUAUAUAUGUAAUUAAAGACACCUGAUGCAAUGGCCUGACUCUUUAAAACCGAGCCUGCAAGUGACUGCAAAAGAUGCAAACGUGGGAAUUUCAACUUCUCUAUUUCCUGGAGUUUUGGCCGGCUGCAAAUUUAAAUCCAGCGCCAUCUCAAAGCUGCACGAAGGGUGAGCAGGAGGCACUAAUACACAGCGAGCUCAAGGCACUGAAAAGCCAUAGGAUUAACACACAGAAAUGAAAGACUGCCCAUUGCCUUCCUCACACCUUGCAGCGAUCCCCUGGCAAGGGGCAGACACUUCCACAGAGCGCCCGACAGCUCUGGUGCAUGCUCACAACCUCUGCAACGAUUUGUGGGCACUAUUUUGUUCCCUUUCCAGGCACCCAGCUGUGCAGGAUACGGCCCCCAGGACAGGGAGCUGCAGAGCUUCAGCUCCCCACAGCCCUGCCUAAACCCGUGGACAAAAAAGCCAGCCUGGAAGCACUGCAGAAGAAAUACUGCGCUUUCGUGUGCUGCCUGCUGUCCCUUCUGUCCCUGCAACCACUGCAGGGAUUAAAAAGCAAGAGGACCUGGGAGAGCAACAACCCGGCAGAGGGGUCGGGGUGUGCCGGGCUCUGCGGGGCUGCAAGACCCAGCGUGCCCACGAGGAAACCCAGUGGGUGCUGGAGGUGGGACACGGACAGCUUCGUG
rnacentral:lncRNA from 1 species